rnacentral:rRNA from 1 species
AACGAACGCUGGCGGCAUGCCUAACACAUGCAAGUCGAACGAGACCUUCGGGUCUAGUGGCGCACGGGUGCGUAACGCGUGGGAACCUGCCCUUAGGUUCGGAAUAACUCCCCGAAAGGGGUGCUAAUACCGGAUAAUGUCUUCGGACCAAAGAUUUAUCGCCUUUGGAUGGGCCUGCGUUGGAUUAGCUAGUUGGUAGGGUAAAAGCCUACCAAGGCGACGAUCCAUAGCUGGUCUGAGAGGAUGAUCAGCCACACUGGGACUGAGACACGGCCCAGCCUCCUACGGGAGGCAGCAGUGGGGAAUAUUGGACAAUGGGCGAAAGCCUGAUCCAGCAAUGCCGCGUGAGUGAUGAAGGCCUUAGGGUUGUAAAGCUCUUUUGCCCGGGAUGAUAAUGACAGUACCGGGAGAAUAAGCUCCGGCUAACUCCGUG